UACAGAGGGUGCGAGCGUUAAUCGGAAUUACUGGGCGUAAAGCGCGCGUAGGCGGCUUUGCAAGCCGGAUGUGAAAUCCCCGGGCUUAACCUGGGAACUGCAUUCGGGACUGCAUUGCUAGAGUAUGGGAGAGGGAAGUGGAAUUUCAGGUGUAGCGGUGAAAUGCGUAGAUAUCUGAAGGAAUAUCAGUGGCGAAAGCGACUUCCUGGACCAAUACUGACGCUCAUGUGCGAAAGCGUGGGGAGCAAACAGG
rnacentral:rRNA from 1 species